GAUGAACGCUAGCGGCAGGCUUAACACAUGCAAGUCGAGGGCAGCAUGAAGGUUAGCAAUAACCUUUGAUGGCGACCGGCGCAAGGGUGCGUAACGCGUGAGCAACUUGCCCGUUUCAGGGGGAUAACCGGUGGAAACGCCGACUAAUACCCCAUGGCAUCAUUAGGAGGCAUCUCCUUCUGAUUAAAGAAUUUCGGAAACGGAUAGGCUCGCGUGACAUUAGCUAGACGGCGGGUAACGGCCCACCGUGGCGACGAUGUCUAGGGGUUCUGAGAGGAAGGUCCCCCACACUGGAACUGAGACACGGUCCAAACUCCUACGGGAGGCAGCAGUGAGGAAUAGUUGGUCAAUGGUCGGAAGACUGAACCAGCCAAGUAGCGUGAAGGAUGACUGCCCUA
rnacentral:rRNA from 1 species